rnacentral:rRNA from 1 species
UACGUAGGGUGCAAGCGUUAAUCGGAAUUACUGGGCGUAAAGCGUGCGCAGGCGGUUAUGUAAGACAGGUGUGAAAUCCCCGGGCUUAACCUGGGAACUGCAUUUGUGACCGCAUAGCUAGAGUACGGUAGAGGGGGAUGGAAUUCCGCGUGUAGCAGUGAAAUGCGUAGAUAUGCGGAGGAACACCGAUGGCGAAGGCAAUCCCCUGGACCUGUACUGACGCUCAUGCACGAAAGACGUGGGGAGCAAACGA